ACAGGAUCAUUUAUUCUAAAACCAUACCUUAUGCUUUAUUCUCCUCUCAGCAUUUCUAAAUUGAUAUUUUGCUGAUUUAUUGUACUACUUUUCAGGGUAUUGCUGCUGGGUUAAUAAUUUUCGAGGUCAUCCCUUUCAUUCUUCAUUCAGAAAGACAUGAAGUUGGCCUUUUUCCAGUUUUCAGGAAUGUAUUAGUCCUUGGGAGCUGCCACUAACAAGGCAGCCUGUCAGUGACCUGAACUGAUUCACGGUGUAUCCCAGAAGGCAAAACAUGAGGCCUUGUAGAUUUGAAUGCAUCGAUAGCAUUCAGAUAAUCAUGAGUGAGUCAAAAAAGAUUACUGGGAAUCUACUGAAUGCAAAGUUUGCGCUGGAUCUUCCCUUUCUGUGGUCUGAUGAUCUACUUUCUCGUUAGCCAGUGUGACGUCAAUGGAGGAGUUAAUCAAGCUCUCCCAUUUGCACAGCUUGGGAAAACAGGAGGCAAAAAGGGAGAGGAUCCAGCAGGCUUUAACACUUGCUUCAUGACGCUUCACGUUUGUGUCCCUAGCAGGGAGCCAGUGUCUGUGGCCUGUUUCAGAUGAUAAUGUAUCUCACUGGGUGUAUCAGUACUGGUAAAGAUGACCUCUCACUCACUCCUUCAUUCCCCCAACCAUCCAUUCAUUCAUGGACAGCAUACUAAGCCCCUACUCCGCAUCAGGCAUUGGGGUUAUAACAGUGAAGAAAACAAAGUUCCAGGUCUCAGGAAGCUUGUGACUAAUUGUACCACCUAGUUUUUAUAAUUCUUGCUUUCAUAACUAUAAAUAUAUACAGAAGAGAAUGUCGAUGGCUGACACUUUUACUAUUCCCUAAAAAAAGCAAAAAUCCUUAGGCCAAAAAUGAGCAAAAGGGAGAAAGGGGGGUUCAGGCCCAAUUCUUAUUCAUAUUCCUAACCAGUGGCAUCCCGACAUAUUGAGAAGAAGUGAAUGAUGACAUUCCACCUGCCCACUCACUCCAAGCCUCUGUCACACCAUAACACUGCCUCCUUGUUCUGUGUCUUCCCCUAAUAGUGUCACCCUGCUGUCCUGGGAUAUAUGCCGUGGGCAGGUGCUCAAGCACUAUAACUAUUGUAACAUCUGGGGCACCAUUACCCCAGAAAUUCAAUCUUUUACAUGUAAAACAGAAAAUAUUUGUAAACCAUUUCCUCUUACCAUUCUCAUCUUGCUCAUUUGGUGUGUCCCUUUGGGUCUCCGGCUUUGGAGCUACUUCUUUUCCAUCUAUCAUUUGCCCCUGAGAAGCUCUGCCUACAAGUCUCAGGCGUUCACCCCAGAUAUUUUGAUAGAGUUUGCAUUCAGUAAAUAUCAAGCACAAAGAAUGUGAGAGGCAAGGUAUUUUCCAGCACAGGUAGUGAGCAAACAUUAAAGCAACUUCUGAGAAUCUGGAUACGAGGGAUAAAAAUCAUGAUCUAUGGUGCACGGCCAUUUGUUGUAGAUCUUCAAUUCAGUGCAACAAACAUUCUCUUUGGACACCUGCUUAAAGUUUAUUUAUUUUGAAUGAAAGAGAGAGCUAGCAGAAGAGGGGCAGAGAGAGAGAGGGAGAGAAAGAAUCCCAAGCAGGCUACACACUAUCAGUACAGAGCUUGACACAGGGUUCAAACUCACCGAACUGUGAGACCAUGACCUGAGCCAUAGUCAAGAGUUGGACACUUAACCGACUGAGCCACUCAGGCGCCCCCUCUUUGGACACUUUGUUUCCUUGACUCCACACACUCCAGCUUUUCUUCUCACUCUCUGGCUUCUUCUCAGUCUGUCUUGUGAGCUCUUCUCCAUCAGACCUCUUUGUUGGAGGUCAUGGCUCACUGUUGAGCAAGCAUCUCUUCUCCAUCUAGCCACAUUUUCUCCCUAGGUGAUCUCACCACACCUUGUCUUUAAUUACUGCAUAUAAUUUUAAUUUAGUUACUUUAUAUAUUUAUUAAUUUAAUUACUACAUAUAUGGGAAGGAAGGCAGGAGGGACAGAAAGAGGGAGACAGGGAGAGUCUAUUUAAUUACUGUGUAUAUAUUACUUUAAUUACUAUAUAGAGAAAGUGAGAGAUGGGGAGAGUAGAGAGGGAGAAAGAAGAGAGAAGGUAUAUAAAUAUAGCACAGUGACUCACGAUUGCAGUUUCAGCCCAGCUCUCUCCUCUGAAAUACAGAUCCAUGUACUCAAUGCUUUAACAUCUCUCCUUGGAUAUUUCAAAAGCAUUACAGACUCAGCAUGUCAAACUGAAUUCAUAGUCUCUCUCAAAAUUUGAUCUUUCAUUGUUCCUGCUAUCUUUGAGUGGUGCCUCCCAUUCAUUUGCUUGGUGAUGCAAGCUGAAAAUCCAGGAGUUAUGUUGACACUUCAGUCUCUCUUCUUGCCCACAUCCAAUCCAGCACCAAGUUUUGACAAGUUUGCCUCCUAAAUAUCCUUCAAGUCUGCCCACUUCUUUUCUCCUCCCAUCAUUUUAAUCCACGCAGAGAGCAUAAAACCUCUGGAUUUGAUUCCUGCUAAUCUACCCACAUCCAUUUUUGUCUCCUACAAUCCAUUUUCCACAGAGCAGCCAAAGAGGUCAUUCAGAAGGCAAAGUUCUUGAAUGGCAUUUCCGCUGCUCGGAGGAUACAUGUGUCCCCGUCUACCUAUAUCAGCCUCAUCUGAUCUAUAUUCCUCCUCAUUCUCUCUGUCCAGCUCCCCAGCCUUCCUUCCAGUUCUCUUCUCUGCAUGUCCUUCAACCUAGGAAUCUUGACCAUAUCUUCUUGGAGUUUACUCUGAUUCAUGCCUCAGAUCUUGACUCUGUCUUCCCCAGUACUUACCACAAAAGUAUUUGUUAAGUGAUAUUGAGGCUUGAAGAGGGGUACUCAUAAGUGGGUCUUCUGUUUUCCCUUCCUGGGUUUAUAGCCAGUGGAGAGAGAAGAUAGGGAUGAAAAAAAAAAAUCAGAUGGAGAUAAAAAUAUCAGUUUUAUGAUCACUAGAGAUGUUGAAACUGAGGUUUGCAUGUGAGCAACAUUGGUAACCCCAACACAAAACCCCAAAUCAGGCAGCCUCACUUCCCCUAGUCUUUGCUCAAUACACAUGCCCAUGGAACAAGUCUCUCACAGAACUCACCUCCAAGAGGAAGAAUGGAGUGUGGAUCCAAGAGAGGAGAGGAGAACGAGGCCCGGCUAUGCACCACCACCACCCUCAAGAUCCUCUCCCAGACUUACCAUCCAGGUAACCCACUCCACCUCUGUGGUCAGAAUGAGGGGUGUGGGAAGAGGCCAAGUGUGCUGGGAACGUCCUUCCUCAUAGAAACCAGAGGAGUGGAUGGGGUGCCUGGGUGGCUCAGUCACUUGAGCGUCCAACUCUUGAUUUCAGCUCAGGUCAUGACCCCAGGGUCAUGGGAUCAAGCCCUACAUCGGCUCCAUGCUGACCUUGGAGCCUGCCUAAGGUUCUCUCUCUCUCUCUCUCUCUCUCUCUCUCUCUCUCUCUCCCCUUUUCCUCUCUCUCCUCUCUCUCUCUAAAAGAAGAAAGAAAGAAAGAAGAAAGAAAGAAAGAAAGAAAGAAAGAAAGAAAGAAAGAAAGAAAGAAAGAAAGAAAGAGUAAAAAAAGAAACCAGAGGAGUGGAUAAGAAGCAAUUUUCCCCUAACAAGUCAAUAGGAAGUUGGACAUGACUGAAUGAAUGAGUGAACAAACAUUGACUACACAUCUAAAAAGUGGAGGAGGCCUGACUGGUGUGAUGGUGAGUUUUGAAGGCAUUGUGCAUCCCUGCCUCGGCCACUUCUCUCUUCUCCUGCCUCUGCCUGCCUGCAGAGAGGAUGUAUUCUCCUUCACUCUGCCUUGCACGGGUGACACCCCUAAAAAGAGAUCUUUGAAUGAGAACAGAAGGAGAUUCAGACAGAACCCCAAGGACUCCAUCCAACAAAUCAUGGUUAUGAUGAACAUAAACCAACAAAUGGGUCUGAGAAGAAGCAAGGGAGGACCAGGAAAAUAAGGUGUGACAGGAGACAAGGGAAGUAUCACAAGGAUGAAGUGAUUAAGAACUGCUAAGAAAUCAAAUAAGGUAAGGGUUUAAAAUGCCUUUCAAAGUUAGUGACAUGGAGGUAAUUAAUGACGUGAGCCACUUUAGUGGGAUGAGAGGCAGAAACAAUGAUGAAUUGAUUCAACAGUGAGAGGUAAUUCAUGACCCCAACAUGAGCUACUUCAGUGGAAUGGAAGGCAGAAACAGGGAUUAAAUUGGUUCAUUGGUAAGGAAACGGAGACAGUGAGUAUAAAUACAUGCUUAAAAUGGUUUUGAGAAGUUUUGAUAACUAUGACAGGAGGACAGCAACUAAGGAGACAGUGAAGUCCAGGGUAGACUUCGUGACCUGUCCUCCAUCCAACCUUUCAAAUGUUGGGGAAGACAUUAAAAUGUUGAGCAUAUUUAAAUGCUGAUACAAAGUCUCAGCAUUAAGGAGGGGGUCUGAAGCCCCCAGAGAUGGAUAAUUGAGAAUUUAUGAAUCCAGAAUAGGAGGAAAUAGAAUGCAGGGCGCAGGUGGAUUAACCUUUAAUAAGAACACGAUGUCUCCUCUGCCUAAUGGCAGCAAAGGAGGAGAGGGCACCUUGUGCAGAAGCAGGCAGGGUUAAAGGUUUGGUAGCAUAGGUCAAGAAGUGUCUACCCAGAUGGCUUCAAUGUUCAAUGGCAAAUAGGAGAUGAAGUCAUGGGAGAGGGAGGAGUAAGUCUAGUUUGGAAGGGGCUAAGGUUGACUAUUCAAAGACAGUGGAGAAGAGUGGAAAAUACUUUUUUUUUUUUUUUAACACUCAGAGGAAAAAACUUCAUGGCUUGAAUUCAAACUGAUUUUCUCAAGUGGACUAUUCUCUUGUGAAGAUGAGGACAGUACCUAUGUCCAUUGAUACACUUGUUUACAGCUCAAAGAUCAGAGGCACCAUGCUACUAAAUAUGCACAUGGCCCUGAGAAACACAUCUUUUUUUUUUAAUGUGUGUUUAUUUUUGAGACAGAGUGUGAGUGGAGGAGGGUCAGAGAGAGGGGGAGACAGAAGAU